rnacentral:rRNA from 1 species
CCUGAACGCUGGCGGCGUGGCUAAGACAUGCAAGUCGAACGGGCAUAGCAAUAUGUCAGUGGCGAACGGGUGAGUAAUGUAUCGCUAACGUACCCUUGUGUUGGGGAUAGCCGGGGGAAACUCCGGGUAAUACCCAAUGACAUCACCGUGAGGCAUCUCAGGGUGCUCAAAGGAGCAAUCCGCAAAAGGAGCGGGCGAUAUCGUAUCAGCUAGUUGGUGAGGUAACGGCUCACCAAGGCGACGACGCGUAGCCGGGCUGAGAGGUUGGCCGGCCACA